rnacentral:rRNA from 1 species
UGGGGAAUAUUGCGCAAUGGGGGAAACCCUGACGCAGCGACGCCGCGUGUGGGAUGAAGGUCUUCGGAUUGUAAACCACUGUCGCGAGGGACGAAGCUCUGACGGUACCUCGAAAGGAAGCACCGGCUAACUCUGUGCCAGCAGCCGUGGUAAUACAGAGGGUGCGAGCGUUGUCCGGAAUCACUGGGCGUAAAGGGCGCGUAGGCGGCCCGGUAAGUAGGGGGUGAAAUCUCAUGGCUCAACUGUGAGGCUGCCUUCUAGACUGCCAGGCUUGAGCACAGUAGAGGCGAGUGGAAUUCCCGGUGUAGCGGUGGAAUGCGUAGAGAUCGGGAAGAACAUCGGUGGCGAAGGCGGCUCGCUGGGCUGUUGCUGACGCUGAGGCGCGAAAGCGUGGGGAGCAAACAGGAUUAGAUACCCACGUAGUCCCUGAGCGGGCUGGCAAGGCGCAU